UGCACAGUCCUGCUGCUGGAGACCGACCGUCUCCCCUUUGGUUACCCAUCUCUGCUGCUGGAGGGGGAGACCGACUGUCUCCCCUUUGGCUAAACAGCCCUGUCGCUGGGGGGGCAGGACCGACCGUCCCUACCCCCUGUGCUGGCAGUGUAGAGACUACGGUCCCAUCUGCACAGUUGUGGGGCUUACUGUCUCCCCUUUGUACAUUAAGCUGCC